rnacentral:rRNA from 1 species
UACGUAGGGUCCGAGCGUUGUCCGGAAUUAUUGGGCGUAAAGGGCUCGUAGGCGGUUCGUCACGUCGGGAGUGAAAACUCGGAGCUUAACUCCGAGCCUGCUUCCGAUACGGGCAGACUAGAGGUAGGCAGGGGAGAGCGGAACUCCUGGUGUAGCGGUGGAAUGCGCAGAUAUCAGGAAGAACACCGGUGGCGAAGGCGGCUCUCUGGGCCUUACCUGACGCUCAGGCGCGAAAGCUAGGGGAGCGAACAGG